CAUUUACUGGAAGGUGGCUGUUGUGAGGUGUGCUGGUGUGCAGCAUCAGCCCUUCUGUGUGCCUGCCUUUUAUGUGAAAGGAGAGCUGUGAUUCCAGCCCUGCUGACCCUGUGAACAGCUCUGUGCUGUUCCUGACCUCACUCCAGCAGAGCAGAUCCAAGUGCUUUUGGAAUAACUGGGUAACUAAAGUCCUGGGCCUGAGACCAGCAUGUGGUUUAGUUCCUGCUCUUUCUAACCAUGCUUGCUCCUUCAUCUGCAAUAAAUCCAUGUAGGAGCUGGGUAGUCCUGUCCUCUCUGUCUCCUGAGUGUCACAUGCAGCAAUGGUCAGCCCAGGGCAGUCUGAUCUAUGAGCAUGGGAAACAGGCAGAAAUCCUCUGCUUCUGCACGGCUUUGUUUAACUUCUCUGGGGUUUUGUUUAGUUCAGUUUUGCUUUUGAAGCACAAAAGGUGCUUGUCCAGCUGGAGAGCUGUUCUGGAUGUGCAGGGAGCUCUGUCACUCUUGCUGCUGCCCUUAGCUUGGCCCAACAACCAGAUUGUGGGUAGGAGUUGCAGAAGUGAGAACUGGCACGUCUGUGAAGUUGCUCUAAAAUAAGAUGAUUGCUUCACCUGUAUCCAUCAAUCCCUUGUGGAAGGAAAGAGCACCAGGCUUCUCCCAGCAGUCUGACAUGCAGUUCAUCUCAUUUGCUGGUAGGCAGGAGCCCCCCUUGGCCGAGUGAGGCAGCAUGGCAAGUGGGAGUCGAGAGGAGGUGCUGAAGGUCUGAUCUCUCCGGGACUACCCGGAGGCUGCAGCAUUUCUGCCUCUGUGUGGUGCAGGACAGGCCUCCCCAGGGCUCUCUGUCUGCACUGACAUCUCUCAUCCACAGUGCCCCUCAUGUCCAUGACUGGCACCCUGCUACUGCCCACCCUGGGGGCCACACUGCCUUGUGUGGCCAGUGGCACCGUGGCUCUGUGUUCUGUGGAAGCUGCUGAGCUCAGCCCCAUCCUGAGCUCGCUGUGGCACACCCAGAGCAGUGCUGGGCCAGCACUAAAGAUGGGCUGAGACUGGCAAGGCUGCACAGAGGGGUGUGUGGUCUGUCCAGAGCCUCCCUCCUCGCUCUCCUGGGCAGCCUGCACGGAGGCUCCGUGCCCUGGUGUGAUGGGAGCGUAAGGAGAACAGCAGUAAUGAAGGGGGAGAUGGAGAGAUCUGUCUGGCAUCUUGGGAUUUGCUCGGAGUGUCACCAGAGCCAGCUGUGAAGGUGGAGGCAGGAGCCACGCUGGGGAGGAGGAGGACCCAGGGAUGACAGGUAUGCCUUCCUUCAUCAUCUGUGCUGUGCUUGGUGCGGGAGGGAGCAGAGAACUUCAGGCAGUGUUUUUAAAAGGCUGCUUUAAAUCUUCAGUUAAUAAGGAGGGUGCCCAGCUGGGUCCCUGCCUUUCU